UCCAUGGUGAUCUGCACCCUCAAGGU
rnacentral:piRNA from 1 species